rnacentral:rRNA from 1 species
GAUGAACGCUGGCGGCGUGCCUAAUACAUGCAAGUCGAGCGAACGGACGAGAAGCUUGCUUCUCUGAUGUUAGCGGCGGACGGGUGAGUAACACGUGGAUAACCUACCUAUAAGACUGGGAUAACUUCGGGAAACCGGAGCUAAUACCGGAUAAUAUUUUGAACCGCAUGGUUCAAAAGUAAAAGACGGUCUUGCUGUCACUUAUAGAUGGAUCCGCGCUGCAUUAGCUAGUUGGUAAGGUAACGGCUUACCAAUGCAACGAUGCAUAGCCGACCUGAGAGGGUGAGUGGACAACCUGGAACUGAGAAACGGUCCAGACUCCUAAGGGAGGCAGCAGUAGGGAAUCUUCCGGAAUGGGCGAAAGCCUGACGGAGCAACGCCGGGUGAGUGAUGAAGGUCUUCGGAUCCUAAAACUCUGUUAUUAGGGAAGAACAUAUGUGUAAGUAACUGUGCACAUCUUGACGGUACCUAAUCAGAAAGCCACGGCUAACUACGUG